ensembl:misc_RNA Metazoa_SRP Metazoan signal recognition particle RNA
GCUGGGCGUGGUGGUGCACGCCUGUAAUCCCAGCUAGUUGGGAGGCUGAGGCAGGAGAAUCGCUUGAGCCUGGGAGGCAGAGGUUGCAGUGAGCCAAGAUCGUGCCCCUGCACUUCAGCCUAGGCGACACAGCGAGACUCAGUCUCAA